rnacentral:rRNA from 1 species
UACGAAGGGGGCUAGCGUUGCUCGGAAUCACUGGGCGUAAAGCGCACGUAGGCGGAUUGUUAAGUCAGGGGUGAAAUCCUGGAGCUCAACUCCAGAACUGCCUUUGAUACUGUCGGACUAGAGUCCGGAAGAGGCGAGUGGAAUUCCCGGUGUAGCGGUGAAAUGCGCAGAUAUCGGGAGGAACACCGGUGGCGAAGGCGGGUCUCUGGGCCGAUACUGACGCUGAGGAGCGAAAGCGUGGGGAGCGAACAGG